rnacentral:lncRNA from 1 species
AGAAGCAAGCAAAGUUGAGUGCUCAAAAAGUAUGGAGAGCUUCUGCUGUCUUUAUCAGUAUGUAAAAUGAUGAGAACUAUUUAUGUGCGGAAAAUAAAUAAAGUUCUCCAGUGGAUUCGAAGAAGCAAGCAACGUUGGGUGCUUAAAAAGUAUGGACGGCUCAUAGUGUCUUUAUCAAUGUGUAAAAUGUUAUUUUGAUAUGGGAACUAAUUAUGUGAGAAAAAUAAAUAGAGUUCUUAGUGAGUUUCAUGGUAUCUUUUGAGGUUUUAAUUUCGGGCAUUAUGCAGUCCUCUUAUUUGUAAUCUCCCACGAGAAUUAUUAAUGAAGUUCAAUUAUGCCAAACAAAAUUAAUGCUUAAUUUAACGUUUUUUCAUGUAAAAAUCAGUUUGAAAAUUAGGUUAAAUCACAAAAAUAAACACUCUCUGAAACUCUAAUACCAAAAUAAAAAUAAAAAUCAUCACAUCAUGUUUUCAUACAACAAAAAGAAAUUUCAAAAAAAUAUAUAUGUAAUAGCAUGCACUUUGGCUUUAACAACAAGUUUGUUAGAGCCAUGAGAACUAGGCCAAUAUUUCAAAAAAUUCUAAAAAAGCUUUUUGUCUUCUUUUAGUAUCUGAGAUUACGAAUUUAUACGUAAAACGUAUUCAUAAUAUUAAAAAUAUAGUUUUCAUAUAGACGUUAGAACAGUUAAGUUUUUACCCGAUAAGAUAAGGACUUCCUUACUGAGGAGGAUUUUCCUUAAACCAUAGACAGACCAACAACUAGAAAUACAAUAACACCUUAGCUUUUAUCAGACAAUCAAACAAUGCAGCUUAUCUUAGGUAAGGCAUAUUUGGGGUGCUAAUAUCUUCUCUUUGCGCAAUCAGUCCCCGUACCCGAUCUCUGAGACCAGUUAGGGUUUCUAGUGACCAAAAUACUAGGUGGCGACUCCCAUUCCAUUUUUCACUGAUAAACAACAAGAAUUUCUUGUCUCCUUUUAUUUGCCAGAUAAAGAUAUAGAUACAUCCUAGAUUUAAAGUGAAACUAUUUUCACAGCGACGCCGCACACGUACAACAUCCUUGUUCCAUAUAUUGAACACAUCAAUCUUUAGAAAACAAAAAAAAAAUCAUAAUGUUCUAAUUUUUCAUAUACGUUGUUUUCAGUUAUUUUUUUUAUUCUAAUUUAAUUAGAAUUUCUCAGAGCUCGAGAUGUACGCAGAACGGGCGGCUAAUCCCAACUGCAUACAUUAGAAAAGGAAGAAAGAAAGUUUGGAAGGUGUUACAAAUCAAAGAAAGUCUAAAAUUUAAUAUUUAAAUGGAGCUCUGCUACUAAAGUUAGAAGGUAAGUACUUUGGCAAGGAAUUUGUAACCUAUGAAACAUUUUUUAGAGCUGCGGAACACUGUCAGUGUACACAUUUUAUCUUCUCUAAAAGCAGGUUAGAAAGUAAAAAAUGGCUUGAAAUUUAAAAAGUUUUUUUAUUCAUCUAUAAUAUUGUUUUUAUCUUUUGUAUGAAUGAAUUUUAUUUUUAAAAAUAAAAAAAUUAUUUUAGAUAAUAUUUCUAAUAUGUGCAGUCGUGCAUAAUGUUUUUUUCUAUUUUAUUCUAUUCAAUCAAUUUAAUUUGUGUUUUUAUUUUUAUUAUUAUUUUUUAAAAUAAAAAUAUUAUUUUAAUAAAUGAAUUUAGCAAAUACAAUCAGGUAAAUAUCUCAUAUUUUAGGAUUAAAUAUUUUGAUGUAUGAUUCUUCACUUUUCAAGUUUUAUACAUGUAGAUGCAAUUGCAUUCAUACUUUCGAAGUUAUAAUUAACUCUAUUUUUUUGUGGUAGAUUCAAUAUGAGGUGGUAAGUUUUGAUGAUCAUGUGUGCCUUUGCGUAAAACGUUGUUACUAAUUAAUUGGGGAGGUGAAAUAGCAAAGGAAUUAAAGCACAUAACAGCAGUAAGGCAUCCAUUUACUAUGGUAUAUCACAUGCAUGCACUUAUAAAUUAACCUAACACGUUAUGUUUUGCCUAGAGACCUCUGAAGGUGGAACCUGUUACCGUUAGUCAACCAGCUAGUCUUCGGCCUUUUAUAUUAAUUCAGGAUAUCGUCUUCCACGCAUUUUUAAGCUUAAGGUCCACGAUCAAAUUUCAGUGCGCAGUGUCACGUGCAAUACCUUAGAAAAUGAUACCUCAAUUUUGUACUUAUGAAGUAUGUUUUGCUUGGAAACCUCUGAAGGUGGGGCCUGUCACCGUGAGUUAACAGCUAGUACUCUUCAGCUUUACUAAUGCUGAAUAUCGUCUUCCAUAUAUUAUGAAAGCAUAUUAUGAUCUUCCAUCAUAUGUGGAUAGAAUCCACUCUUACUUAUCAAAGGUGGCUUAGUCAAUAAUGCGAAGUAUUUGAUACGUUCGUUAAUUAUCUUGGGCACGGGAGGACUUAAUUUCAAGAAUAGUUGAAAAUCUGUUUGAAAAUUAGGUUGAAUCACAAAAUUAAACACUCUCUGAAACUCUAAUACCAUAUCAUCUUAGCUUAAGUUUCUACAUAAAACUUUAAAGCCUCUUUUAUCUCUCAAAACCAUGUUCAAACUAUUAGUUUCUAUUUGUCUGCACUAUUUCUGUUUGGUUGCCUAGAAAAAAUGGGACAGGUUAAAAAAAAUUGAAGUAUGGUAAACUGCACAGCCCUUGUUUGAGUGGGGUUUUUUCCUUUAAUUUUGUCAAAUGACAUGGAAAAGAAAGUGAUUUCUUAAUUUAUAAAGAAUCUCUCUAUUAUUUUUUAUUUUAUUUUCCAUUAAUGCAAUACUCAGUUGAACAUGUCUCUUCGGGCUGUAAUAUUAACAUGUAAUAUUUUAAUUGUUUUUUCAAUCAUUGAUUUUUAUUUCUAAUUUUCUCGGUCUUUACCAACCAAAAAAUAUUAUCAAUAAAUAGUGACUAAAAUAGCAACAUUAUUUUUUAUUGAAAAACAUCACCAUAAUUUAUCGAUGAUAUUUUUUUUUGUUAGUAUUUAAUAAUUUUCUAACAUUGACUAGAGUUUUAAAGGAUACCAAUCGUCCCACCAUAGAUGAGUGGUCUUACCAUUUCAAACGGUUUGAUGAAUUGCUUUUGUACUGUUAGAGAAUAAUAUAAAUUAUAUCUUGAGACCUCAUUUAACAUCUUAAACUUUUAGGUUGAAUUGGUUUUUUGAUAUGGUAUCAGAGCCUUGAUGACUAAGCGGUCACGAGUUCAAAUCUCACCACCCUCAUUUAUUUGAGAAAAAUUAAAGAUAAGAUAAUAUGAGCUCAAGCCCAAAAGGCUUUCUUUUGAGGGUGUGUGUUAGGGAAUAAUGAGUUGAAUUAGUUCUUUAACACGUACAAAUGUUAUAAGCUAGAGUAAUUAUCAUCGAUGUUAAGAAUAACUAUUGGGUACUUUAUGGCUCCAAAAGCUAUUGCAUAAAUGUAAUUACAUCAUUUUUAAGCAACUUUUGUACUAGUUGUUAGUAGUAUAUUGGCUCUUGCUCCGCAGCAGAUCAAUAUUAAGAAUAUAGUAAAUAUUUUAAUAGCCUUGAGUCAAGUAGCAUGCUAGACCCAAGGUGUUUAGGUCUGGCGUAGUUGUCAAACCCAAGUCUCUUGGGUCUGGAGUGGUUGUCAGACCCAAGUAGCUUGGGUUAGGCAUGGUAGCCAGACCCAAGGCGCUUGGGUCUGACAAUAACACCAGACACAAGCUACUUUUUUUUAUCUUUUCUGAGGCUAAAAGUGUUAUUUUAUUAUAUAUGAAAAUUGUAAAAACUUGAAAUACCCUUUUUUGGGAGCAUAUCCUUUUUUAUUAUUAUUUUGGGGACAAAUAAGUAUUUUUAUUGUUAUGAAUAUUGUGAAAAACCAAGAAAGUCCUUGGUCAACAGUUCUAAUUUUUGUUGACUUUAGGGGUAAAAGAGUACUUUAAUUGUGUCUCAAGCACCUUGGGUCUGACAGUCUUGCCAGACCUGCGCACAAUAAACUAGUGGGAUAAUUAUGCACUUUAGUUGUCAGGAGAGAGAAAAUAAAGAAAGAACGCAAACAAUCAAUCACCAAGGGGCAAUCCAAUCAUUAUCUGGCUACGCGCGCUAUACCAUUUGCAAGAGGGCACGACUAUGCUUCUAAUUAGAUGGUGGUUGGCCAGAUUUGACCACUGAGAAGCAUCAUACGCGUCUCCUUAAUGGCAUGGGCACUGCCCAUUUGCUAGGGCAUGAGGAACACUAGCCCGCAACUUUUUGAUUAAAAAAUAACAAGUACAUCGUGACAAUACUAUAAAAUGCGUCGUUUCAUUUAUAUAUGAUAUGGCGCCAACACGUCAACUUCCAAAUCAAUCCCCAAUUUAUCCUUUGUCCGCUCAAGUCCUCAAAUGCAAUUUUGAUUUUAAGAAUCAAUUCAAUUACAUCCCUGCCAACUUCAAUCGCCGGCCCUAUAGUUGGUCGUCUUUCCCACUUUCGUCCUUGGUUUCUGAUUUAUGCAAUUUGACUCUCAAUUGAUCAAUAAACUUUUAAUUCUUCAAUUUGGCCCCUGAUUUGGUUAAUUACAGCCCCUCUAUUUACGCGUCUUUUCUAGUUUGGUCCUUGGUUUUGGAUUUCUUCAAUUAGGUCCCUAAUUGGCCAUCAAACUUCAAUAUUUAUGCAAUUAAGCCCCUGAUUUGACCAAAUUAACUCUCAAAAAUUAUAAUUUGACCCCAUAACUUUAAUUUAUUCCAAUUAAAGCCCAAAUUGACUUAAAAAUUAAUUUUUCUUGCAAUUAAACCCUCUAUAAAUUCAAUUAAACUUUCAAUAAAUCCAAUUGAGUCUAUAAACAUCCAAUUUUGGACUUUUCUCCCCAAAUUGAAUUUUCUUUUCCAACAAGGCUCUCAUCAUUCAAGUAUAUACUGUCAAAAUUUCAAUCCUUGUAUUUUUGAACCUCCUUAAUCAAUUUUUCUGACCAUUUUCUGAGCACUCCAACCUCCUACUGUUAUUUCCAAUUUCUUCCGACCAUAUAUUUAUAUUUAUUUUUAUUAUUAUAUUUUUAUUUUUAUUUUUUGUAUGGGGACCCAAAAAUGGGUUACAACACAAACAAUCGAUCACCAGCGAUAAUCCAACCAUUAUCUAGCUACACGUGCCACACUAUGUGAAAGAGGGCACGACUACGCUUCCAAUUAGAUGGCGAUUGAUCAUAUUUGGCUACUAGGAAGAGUCCUAUGCACCUCCUUAGUGGCACGGGCACUGCGCGCUCGUUAGGGCGUGAGGAAUACUGGCCCGCAGCUUUUCAAUUAAAAAUAAUAAAUACAUCAGAUCGUGAACAUACUAAAACGCCCUCAUGGUCCUUUUAAUUACACAAACAUCCAUAUAAAAAUACCAAAAUAUCCCCGAAUGUAAAGUUUUUUUUUUUUGAAGCUAAAAGCAUUAUAUGACUGUACUUGGAAAUUGAAAAAAUCCGAAUACCCUUGUAAUAGAAAGUCAAAGAAACAUCUCGUGAAAAUAUGAGAAAUUAAAAGUAAAACGACUAUUAUAAUCUA